GACAGAGGUGCCGAGCGUUAGGCGGAAUCACUGGGCUUAAAGCGUGUGUAGGCGGACCCGUCAGUGUCUUGUGAAAUCCCACGGCUCAACCGUGGAACGGCCCCGGGUACGGGCGGCCUCGAGGGGGGUAGGGGCGUGCGGAACUGUGGGUGGAGCGGUGAAAUGCGUUGAUAUCCACAGGAACUCCGGUGGCGAAGGCGGCACGCUGGACCCCUUCUGACGCUGAGGCGCGAAAGCCAGGGGAGCGAACGGG
rnacentral:rRNA from 1 species